ACGGGAGGCAGCAGUGGGGAAUAUUGGGCAAUGGGGGGAACCCUGAUGCAGCAACGCCACGUGUGGGAAGAAGCAUUUCGGUGUGUAAACCACUGUCGUGAGGGAAUAAUGCUUGGCUCCGGCCAAGUUGAAUGUACCUCGAAAGGAAGCACCGGCAAACUUCGUGCCAGCAGCCGCGGUAAUACGAGGGGUGCAAGCGUUGUUCGGAAUCACUGGGCGUAAAGGGAGCGUAGGCGGAGACGCAAGCAGUCUGUACAAUACCGUGGCCCAACCCCGGACCUGCAGACUGGACUGUGUCUCUUGGAUAGUUCAGGGGCAGGCGGAAUUCCUGGUGUAGCGGUGGAAUGCGUAGAGAUCAGGAAGAACACCGAUGGCGAAGGCAGCCUGCUGGGGACUCAUCGACGCUGAGGCUCGAAAGUGCGGGUAGCAAACAGGAUUAGAUACCCUGGUA
rnacentral:rRNA from 1 species